AGUGAACGCUGGCGGUAGGCCUAACACAUGCAAGUCGAACGGCAGCACAGUAAGAGCUUGCUCUUACGGGUGGCGAGUGGCGGACGGGUGAGGAAUACAUCGGAAUCUACUUUUUCGUGGGGGAUAACGUAGGGAAACUUACGCUAAUACCGCAUACGACCUACGGGUGAAAGCAGGGAAUCUUCGGACCUUGCGCGAUUGAAUGAGCCGAUGUCGGAUUAGCUAGUUGGCGGGGUAAAGGCCCACCAAGGCGACGAUCCGUAGCUGGUCUGAGAGGAUGAUCAGCCACACUGGAACUGAGACACGGUCCAGACUCCUACGGGAGGCAGCAGUGGGGAAUAUUGGACAAUGGGCGCAAGCCUGAUCCAGCCAUACCGCGUGGGUGAAGAAGGCCUUCGGGUUGUAAAGCCCUUUUGUUGGGAAAGAAAAGCAGCAGGUUAAUACCCCGCUGUUCUGACGGUACCCAAAGAAUAAGCACCGGCUAGCUUCGUG
rnacentral:rRNA from 1 species